rnacentral:lncRNA from 1 species
CUAUACUUGCCAAAAAAUAAGAAAAAGAAAUAAAGAAAAACAAUCUUUUACAUAAAAUAAUGAACAAAUAAGAAACAAAAUCAAAAGAAGCACAUGUAUGAUAUACACCUGAAGUAAAAUUAAGUCGUCUAAAUACAUAAAUUCUACAUAUAAAAGAGAUAUCUUUACUUAUGGUUGAUUUUAGCAAGCCAUGAAAUCAUGUAUUCUUUUUAGUGACGAUAUGCGAGAAUCAAAGCCAGCAGAGCCUUUAGAUGAUCCCGAUUUAUACUUCAUAACAUUAAUUUUGCAGAUGUAAUCAAUAAAUAUUAAAAUGUUAGUCGUACAAACUUUAGCAAGAGGGAGUAUCAAAAUAAAAUUAGAUAGAAACACAAAAAUAUCAAUUGUACUAGUAUUCAAACACAAAAAAGUUACUCUACCAUUAGUAACUUUACAAUAUGCUAGUAUAUUGAGAUACAAACUAAUCACUCAAACACGUAUUGAUUAAUUAAUAUUAAUAGUUUAUAUUUAAAAAUAUAAAUAAAUGAAAGAGUAGUAAUUGACACAUUCAUUUUUGUACAAUAAAUAAAUAAGAAAAAAAUAGAAAAAAAUAACAAUAAAAUAAAUAUAAAAUGAUCUCAUUUUUAUUAAUAAUAUA